CAAGUCGAACGGUAACAGGUCUUCGGAUGCUGACGAGUGGCGAACGGGUGAGUAAUACAUCGGAACGUGCCCGAUCGUGGGGGAUAACGGAGCGAAAGCUUUGCUAAUACCGCAUACGAUCUACGGAUGAAAGCAGGGGACCGCAAGGCCUUGCGCGGACGGAGCGGCCGAUGGCAGAUUAGGUAGUUGGUGGGAUAAAAGCUUACCAAGCCGACGAUCUGUAGCUGGUCUGAGAGGACGACCAGCCACACUGGGACUGAGACACGGCCCAGACUCCUACGGGAGGCAGCAGUGGGGAAUUUUGGACAAUGGGCGAAAGCCUGAUCCAGCCAUGCCGCGUGCAGGACGAAGGCCUUCGGGUUGUAAACUGCUUUUGUACGGAACGAAAAGACUCCUUCUAAUAAAGGGGGUCCAUGACGGUACCGUAAGAAUAAGCACCGGCUAACUACGUGCCAGCAGCCGCGGUAAUACGUAGGGUGCAAGCGUUAAUCGGAAUUACUGGGCGUAAAGCGUGCGCAGGCGGUUAUAUAAGACAGAUGUGAAAUCCCCGGGCUCAACCUGGGAACUGCAUUUGUGACUGUAUAGCUAGAGUACGGCAGAGGGGGAUGGAAUUCCGCGUGUAGCAGUGAAAUGCGUAGAUAUGCGGAGGACACCGAUGGCGAAGGCAAUCCCCUGGGCCUGUACUGACGCUCAUGCACGAAAGCGUGGGGAGCAAACAGGAUUAGAUACC
rnacentral:rRNA from 1 species